GACGAACGCUGGCGGCGUGCUUAACACAUGCAAGUCGAACGGAAAGGCCCUGCUUUUGUGGGGUGCUCGAGUGGCGAACGGGUGAGUAACACGUGAGUAACCUGCCCUUGACUUUGGGAUAACUUCAGGAAACUGGGGCUAAUACCGGAUAGGAGCUCCUGCUGCAUGGUGGGGGUUGGAAAGUUUCGGCGGUUGGGGGUGGACUCGCGGCUUAUCAGCUUGUUGGUGGGGUAGUGGCUUACCAAGGCUUUGACGGGUAGCCGGACUGAGAGGGUGACCGGCCACAUUGGGACUGAGAUACGGCCCAGACUCCUACGGGAGGCAGCAGUGGGGAAUAUUGCACAAUGGGCGGAAGCCUGAUGCAGCAACGCCGCGUGCGGGAUGACGGCCUUCGGGUUGUAAACCGCUUUCGCCUGUGACGAAGCGUGAGUGACGGUAAUGGGUAAAGAAGCACCGGCUAACUACGUG
rnacentral:rRNA from 1 species